rnacentral:siRNA from 1 species
CGGUAUACCGCGGGAACAAUUUAU